ACACGACUACAUUAGAUACCCGGGUAGUCCCANCCGUAAACUAUGCGCGUUAGGUGUAUCGGUGACCACGAGUCACCGAGGUGCCGAAGGGAAACCGUGAAACGUGCCGCCUGGGAAGUACGGUCGCAAGGCUGAAACUUAAAGGAAUUGGCGGGGAGCACCACAACGGGUGGAGCCUGCGGUUUAAUUGGACUCAACGCCGGGAAGCUCACCGGAUAAGACAGCGGAAUGAUUGCCGGGCUGAAGACUCUGCAUGACUAGCUG
rnacentral:rRNA from 1 species